GUAGGUGAACCUGCGGAAGGAUCAUUACUGAAGAUAAAAGGAGUUUAGAGCUGCGUUCUUUUUGGCGUGUGCUCACUCCUUACUCUUUGUCCACACACACCUCUGUGCACCAUGGGAGACGGCAAGUCGCCCACUUUAUUAUACAUACACCAAGUUAUAUGCAUGUCUCACAUAUACUCUACGGAGUUAAAUGUACAACUUUCAACAACGGAUCUCUUGGCUUUC
rnacentral:misc_RNA from 1 species